rnacentral:rRNA from 1 species
UACGAAGGGGGCUAGCGUUGUUCGGAAUUACUGGGCGUAAAGCGUUUGUAGGCGGUUAUACAAGUCAGUGGUGAAAGCCCAGGGCUUAACCCUGGAAUUGCCAUUGAAACUGUAUAGCUAGAGAGUGUUAGAGGUUAGUGGAAUUCCUAGUGUAGGAGUGAAAUCCGUAGAGAUUAGGAGGAAUAUCGAUGGCGAAGGCAGCUAACUGGGACAUUUCUGACGCUGAGAAACGAAAGCGUGGGUAGCAAACAGG